rnacentral:rRNA from 1 species
ACAGGUGGUCGGGUAGAGAAUACCAAGGCGCUUGAGAGAACUCGGGUGAAGGAACUAGGCAAAAUGGUACCGUAACUUCGGGAGAAGGUACGCUCUUGAUGGUGAAGUCCCUCGCGGAUGGAGCUGACGAGAGUCGCAGAUACCAGGUGGCUGCAACUGUUUAUUAAAAACACAGCACUGUGCAAAAUCGCAAGAUGACGUAUACGGUGUGACGCCUGCCCGGUGCCGGAAGGUUAAUUGAUGGGGUUAGCGCAAGCGAAGCUCUUGAUCGAAGCCCCGGUAAACGGCGGCCGUAACUAUAACGGUCCUAAGGUAGCGAAAUUCCUUGUCGGGUAAGUUCCGACCUGCACGAAUGGCGUAAUGAUGGCCACGCUGUCUCCACCCGAGACUCAGUGAAAUUGAAAUCGCUGUGAAGAUGCAGUGUACCCGCGGCUAGACGGAAAGACCCCGUGAACCUUUACUACAGCUUGGCACUGAACAUUGAACCUACAUGUGUAGGAUAGGUGGGAGGCUAUGAAGACGUGACGCCAGUUGCGUUGGAGCCGUCCUUGAAAUACCACCCUUGUAUGUUUGAUGUUCUAACUUAGACCCGUUAUCCGGGUUGAGGACAGUGCCUGGUGGGUAGUUUGACUGGGGCGGUCUCCUCCCAAAGAGUAACGGAGGAGCACGAAGGUGGGCUAAUCACGGUUGGACAUCGUGAGGUUAGUGCAAUGGCAUAAGCCCGCUUAACUGCGAGAAUGACGGUUCGAGCAGGUGCGAAAGCAGGUCAUAGUGAUCCGGUGGUUCUGUAUGGAAGGGCCAUCGCUCAACGGAUAAAAGGUACUCCGGGGAUAACAGGCUGAUACCGCCCAAGAGUUCAUAUCGACGGCGGUGUUUGGCACCUCGAUGUCGGCUCAUCACAUCCUGGGGCUGAAGUCGGUCCCAAGGGUAUGGCUGUUCGCCAUUUAAAGUGGUACGCGAGCUGGGUUUAGAACGUCGUGAGACAGUUCGGUCCCUAUCUGCCGUGGGCGUUGGAAGAUUGAAGGGGGCUGCUCCUAGUACGAGAGGACCGGAGUGGACGAACCUCUGGUGUUCGGGUUGUGUCGCCAGACGCAUUGCCCGGUAGCUAAGUUCGGAAUUGAUAAGCGCUGAAAGCAUCUAAGCGCGAAGCGAGCCCUGAGAUGAGUCUUCCCUGAUACUUUAAGUAUCCUAAAGGGUUGUUCGAGACUAGAACGUUGAUAGGCAGGGUGUGUAAGCGUUGUGAGGCGUUGAGCUAACCUGUACUAAUUGCCCGUGAGGCUUAACCAU